UUUUUUUUUGCCUAGUAUAGUCUAAAAAAAACUCGGCAAAGGUCUUGUUUGCCGAGUUCCGAAUUAAAAAAAACUCAGUAACAGUUGGAUAUAGGAGAACGUGGCGUUUUCCGGUAGUGACGACGGCUUUAGUUCACUAUUUGUGGGCAGUUUGUGGAGAUAAUCUGAUUCAAAUUCUAUUUUUAUCCAUACAGCUAUCUGGAUCAAACCGACAUAAGCAAUUAGGAACACCUACUAAAAAGGCAAACGACAAGACUCGCUGGUAUUCUUUUGUUUCUUCGAAGUAUUGAGAGCUACGGCCAGAGUUUACUCAAGAUAACAUACAAAUAUGAGAUCACAUGAUAUAGCAUAAAUCCAUCUGAAUUGAAUGAGAGGGUAAUUCCAGGAGAUGUAUAACUGGGAACAUUUUGUGUAGGCGUCCUUGUGCUCCCUUCAUUCCAGAUCAAUAUCCAUUAUUGAUAUUCCAUGACUACAUCCUAUGACAAGCCUACACAAUUUAAACGCUCUGGUUAAUUUUUUAGAAGGUGUCGAAACUUCAGUAUAGCCAAAAGCUAGCAGGUCAACUAAUAUUGAUUUGUUCCUUCUCCAUAAUUUACUGAAGUCCCUUUCACAAUUCUACAUAUCUAAAUUCAAUCUGUUUAGGAACUAUUUUGAUACCAAAAGAAUUUGCCAAAAAAAUCUGGGUUAAAGGAUUUUUUUUUCAUCCAGAACUUUGGAGAAGAUAGUACAUAUAUAUCUAAUUAAGCCAAAGUUAGUUUUUACUUGUACAUUGAACUUGUUAUUUCAAACAAAGAAACAGUGUAGUUAACAAGACAAAAUCUUAACAAGAAAAUUCAUUACCUUCCGGAGUCUGUAAAUCCAACAUGUCUAGGGUCCUUUCGAAAAUGCAUGUAGGUCUUCUUAAGCCUGUUAGGGGCAGAAGCCCAUAGUUAGUUGCAUCUUCAAACAUAAUAUAAACCAUAUCAUUCUGUCAAAAAUAUAAUAUAAACCAUAUCAUAUGAUGUAGGCAUAUGUAUGCGAGUGUGUACACACAUUUGGAGGUUGGUUGUACCAAACUCUCUAAAAAUACGUACCCUAUCCUCGGUAGAUAACGUGACAAAAUUAUAAGAUUAUGAAUACAUUCUCACAGUAAGGUUGUAAGGAAGAACAAUAUUUUUUUCAUGAAGAUAGGGCAGAAAAGCAAUUAGUAUAUGAGAAAAUUCAUUUAGUUGUACUUUUCAGGCUUGUAAAUGUUCCGUUGCACGGUAAAAAUAAUUUUGGGUCAAAAUUUGAUGUCUUGAUUAAUUGCAGUAUCAAGGCCAAUCAAACCAAAUGCAAAUCAUGCAUUAUUCAAAAUUGAGUAGUACUCCCUCCAUCCCAAAAUAAGUGUCUCAACUUUAUACUAACUCUAGUACAAAGUUGUACUAAGGUUGAGACACUUAUUUUGGGACGGAGGGAGUAUGUAGUACCAGAAAGUGGACUGGACUGAACCCAUCGACUGCAUGCAUGUUGGCAAUGGAAAGACAACUCGAUCACUCUUGUUUGAAAAAAUAAAAAACAGAUGUGGUACAUACCUGUACGUAUUGCAGUCCCAGACACGAAUACUACCGUCACUUGAAAUGGUGAUUAACACCGGUUGUGUUGGGUGGCAAACGGUAGCAAUUAUGUGUUCUGUGGUUUCUGCAAUCUGGAGUGUGUGGACAUGUUCUUGUUUCAGCAUAUCCCAUAUCUGAUUCAAAACAACAAAUAGGAAAAGACAUACAUAUGGAGAUUAUAGUCGCAUAUACAUAGAUGUAUGCAUAUGGAUUAAUAUUAUGAUAUUGAAUUCAGAACGCGAUGCCCUCACUAAUGCAGCCUCGCCGUCAAUAGCAGCAAUGAAAUGCCGAUCACCAGCGUAUGUGAAAAGUUGGCUAGUCUCGUAGUCUUCUACUCCUUUUGUUGUGGCAAUGGGAUCGGGAUGACCAAUUCUCCACGCCUACACAUUUCAAGAACAUAGAUAAAAAUCUUAUUUAUUAUCCCCAGUAGAGCAGCAACCUCACUGACAAGUAGCACUUCACUAAAGGAUCAAGAUCAAGAUGGCACAAAGAAUAACCACCCUCUUUAACUGGGCCAAGUCAAACGGACAUUGGGGAUGCAAUUCUCCACUACUACACAUAGGAAUGCUAAUGGAAUAGGAACAGGUUGAUAAGCAAAGACAAACCUUGACUUCCCCAUCCUUGUCAAGGGCAGCGAAAAUGCUACUAUCCUUGGGGUUAAACAUGACUUGUGUCACGGGUAUAGAGAUGUCAAAUAUUCCGGUACAAGACCAAUUGCGGUUCCAGUCCCAAAGCUUCAUCGACGGGGGAUAACCACAGGUCAGCAGGAACGGACGAGUUGAGUGAACAGCCAAUAAAGUGACACCUAAACGGUGAGCUCUGAAUUCCUUGACUAGGUCCAUUGUGGGAUACAUUCGCACAUCGACGAACCCAUUUGGGAGCCCCAUUACAACCCAUGACUUUCGAGUGAUGAAUUUUGCAACCACAUCUUCAGGGCCCACCUUUCCACCUUCCAGAUUAGACCAUGACUUCCCAGGUAGAAUUCCCAUUAUCCCAUUGGUCUUCCAGUUCCAAAUGUGAAUACGGUUUCCAUCUUCAGUGAUUAGCACCCUGUACAUUUUUUAGGAGACAUAAUUUCAUCAUAGAGAAAUGCUUGGACAUAUACUACGUAUGCGUGUAGAGUACAUACGCCCUACACGACUUGAUCGAGUUAAAAAAGUAUGUAUAAAUUACUCACCAUGGCUCCCUGGGAUGCACAUCUAUGGAUCUGACAUGCAUAGUUACUUCUUUUCCGAAGCCUAUAUCAUUCGUCACUAACUGAUACAACCACAAAACUAAUAAUCAAACCUUAGAAAAUAUCUCCCUGCAAAAAAAAGAGAAUAUCUAACUAAUGAUCUAUUUAUGCCUGGCAUAUACUUACAGCUCGAUCGUUAUCCUCAGAUAUGACCACGACAGCAGUCAACAUAACCCGGUGCAGUUUGAACCCCAGCAUCUCCUGAGUUACCUUGAUUUCAUCUUCGAUGGACGCGCCUUCGUCAAAAGAUAAUGUUGAUAUCUGCUGAUUGACAACGUCCACAUCGGUAUCUGUGAUGAACAUCAGUACCUCGAAUUUUUCAACGUCUAAGGGAGGAUCCUUUUCAGCUUUCCUGGACAAUGGGAUAGCUACUGUAUACAUUGGCGACAUAAAGCCACUUAAUCUACCGUGGUACCUAUUCGGAACUUCAGGUAUAAUCAUAAACCAGACUCCAGCAUCUGUGUGCUUGUUGGUAAGGCUGAUUUCACAAUGCAUCUUCCGGUUUGGCACGAAGGGGAACCUGAGCUCGAGAGGGUAGAAAUCGACCAGCUCAGUCCCAGGGAACGCAGUGGGGGCGACCUGCAUGCAUGAAUUAUUACGUAACCGACUGUACAUGACGAACUCAAUCAAGUUGAGUUGGCAUAUAUACAAUUUGUGGAGUUAGAAUUUACACUGAUAAACCUUCGUCAAAAGUGAAUCAUACGCACCUUUUCUAUGGAAGACCAUGGAAUCAUGUUCUCUAGAUCAUUCAGGUCACGAGUUACUUCAUGUAUGGUUGGUCUGUUAUGUUUGUCAGGGUCCUUGCAGUUUAGAGCUAUUUCGGCACACUUCCUCGCUCGUGGGCAGUCUAUGUUGUCUAAAUAAUCAUCCAGCUGCAAUUUAAGUUUCAGCAAUCAGUAAAGCAUAACGAAGUACACAACAUAUAUACACAUGUAUUGCAGAUAUUUGGUAGGCCAUGAUUGAUUGACAACAAGUGUUAGUUUAAAAAAAUAUACAUAACUCCUAGCUUGUAGUACAACAAAGCACUGGCCAUUGGUAUUUUUUUAUCUCAAAUACGUAAACAAAGUACGAAAAGCUAGAUGCCCAGGCCCAUAUGUCCAGAUGACAUGGAAGCUGACUCAAUGGACAACUCUUCCUGAUAUUGAGUAUCGGAGAUACAACAUGAAAGGUGCAGUGCGACUAGCCACAUCUAUUUGGCAGAAUUUGACACAUUUUAUAUAAGUAUAAAUUUGACAUAAUUCAGUAAGCCCCCAACUAAUAUGCUUAUGAGCUUCCCACGAGCGCAUUCCAAACGCAUCGUCCUAACAAGUGGGUCCACCUUGUAGUUGGUACAAAAAUAGUACAAAUUUGGAUAAACUCAUCAAGAGGUCACUCCUAAUGGAUAAAAUGUGGCAAAAAGAUAAAUAUACUAAAUGUUGUCAUAAGAUCACAAUUAGGGGUUCAAAAUGGACUAUUUUCUAUAUAACGAUAGUACGAAUGAGUAAAGUUUAACAUCAUUCAAGAAAGCCAACCAGUGUCUCCUUACACUAUUAAGAUCUAUCUUGUCAAUCCCUGUUAAUAGUUCUAUGAUAAUAAUGCCCAAAGCGUAUACAUCUGACUUUAAUGAUAUUUCUCCUUUGUCUAUGGUUUCUGGUGCAAUAUAUCGCCUGCACUGACAAUGGUGAAUGUCAAUUUGAUGUGUCAUUGGACAAAGCAAAUUUAACAAACAGAGAAGAGAUCGUUUUAGCUUACAUUGUUCCAAGUAUGUUUUGAGUAAUAAUAGAUUGUCCUUGAUCCAAGUAUCUGGAUAAACCAAAAUCUGUUAUUUUUGGCUCCAUUUGAGCAUCCAACAUAACAUUUUCAGGUUUCAAAUCAAGAUGGUUAAUGAGUUUUCCAUGAAGAAAGUGUAACCCUUGACAAAUUCCUCUAAUCAUUUGGUACCGUAGAGGCCAGUCGUCUCCUUGACAUUUGUCUGCAAAAAGAAACAAAAGAACGUCCAGACUAGGUAAUAUAUUCUCCCUUCAUGUCCACGAGCUUUGCUCGUGGGUUAAAUAUCGAAAAUGUCCAUAACAGCGUAAAAGUAUUAAGAAAUAAUUAAUUAACCAGAUGAGAAACUAAGUAUAGGAAAUUAAUCACAAGGCAAUAAAGUUAUUGUUGAAUUAAUUAUAUGAUAAAUGAUGAAUAUUCAAAGUUGGAUCAUGUCCAAAAAUAACUAACUUACUCGGGUCAGCAACACUUAUGAAGUACCAAUUUAUAUUUAAGUGAUAAAUGAAGUUGUCAGACCUACAUACCUCCUUGAAGAUAAUGCUUAAUGUUUCCGUUAGGAAGAUAUUCAAAGCAUAGCAACUUCUGUUGCGCCUCUCCCAAUACAUUUUUUCCAUUGAACUCAAGCAAUUCUCCCUGGGAUUCUGAACAAUAGCCUAAAAAUCUUACUAUAUUCCUGUGCUUUGCCUUUUUCAAACACGUGAUCUCAUCUAGAAAUUGCUUUUCAGGCAAAGCAUGCAGAUUCAGUAGCUUCUUCACAGCAACAUUCCCAUUUCGUAGAACUCCCUGCUUUGCUCAUGGUAGCAUCGAUAUGAGCAUUUUGCUCAACUACUGUAAAAAUAAACCAUUUGCGAGGCAAUCAAAAACAGGACAACCAUACCUGGUAAACAACUCCAAACCCACCACCACCAAUUUCAUUAGAAAAAUUGUCUGUAAUGGACCUCAAAAGACCAUAGGAUAGCUUGAUAGGAUCUACACUUGCAUCACUCAUUAUGUGCUCCAAUGCUGCCACUUCACUUGCUUCGUCAUCCAUCUCUAAUUAAAAAAAUAUCCAUUCAUAUAAGAACAAGUGCGGAGAAAUAUAUAUUCAUAUCUUUAGACAAUCACAUAUAUAUAUACUCCUGGGUGGGUGUACGUUCUCCCAUAUUCAAUAUACCUCAUAUACAAGGGUAUUAUACCUCUUUAUCAUUCUCAAUAUACCUCAUUAAUUAUUCUAAGAUACCUCAAUACAUGUAGUACGAAAAAAAAUCAUCGAAGCCCUUAUUUUUCUAAUAUACCCUUUUACAUACGGAAAGCAGUAUACAUGAUAAUAAUUGAAGGUAUAUAGACUCAAAUGAAAUUUUUCACAAAACUCACUUUGGGGUAUCUAGUAUUCAGUAAUGAAGUGCUAGCACUGUGCCCGUGCGUUGCAACGGAUCCAAAGUAGAAUAAUACUUGUUCACAAAAGAAAACGCUCUAGUUUUGAUAUACAUAUAUCACUAAAAAUAUAUUAUGUUACACUCAAAAUAUAUUCCUCAUACUGUUUUGACGAGGUGAUGGAGGGAUGUAGUUGGUUUCAACAUACUAAGGGGUUUUCUGCAAAUUGAAGCAGAGAAGUGAGCUAUUGUUGUAAAAAGACCACAACUUACCUCACAGCCGUUACAUGCAGAUCCAAUGGUCAGAAAUGACGGAUGGCAGACACACCAUCAUCACCAACUAAUCCUUUUAUAGGAGUAGAGAUAUUAAAGUAAUAAAGAGGUAUAACUGACUCAACUUUGUGGUAUAUUGGAUGUGGGAGUACGCACAUCCAAUACCAUCGCAUUUUUCUAUAUAUAUUGUUUGUUCAUUGUAGAAAAUGUCAUAAACUACUCCACUGAAACAAGGGAGUCCUACACCAAAACUCAAAACAGAUACUUCUCAACACAUGACAGGAAUGAUCAAACUGUCAAAAGGUAUUGAAACCUUUCUAGGGACGAUAUCUUUAUAUUUAUUGAAGCAUCGUCGGAGAGUAUUUUGGCGACGUGAUCUAUGGUGCAAAGUUAUGUAGCCUGCUCGAGCCAGCGCGUCAACCUUUAGAAGUCCUCUUCUUUGGAAGGAAGGUGCAUCUUAAGGCCAAGAUAUGUGGCAUUGAAAAUGAAGCUUUGAUUGAAUGGAAGGUAAUAGAAAUAAGAGAAUGGAUCGUUUAAACAUGGGUUUUUAUCAUUUCUGCCACUAUGACCAACCCCAAUCUCAGUUGUACCAUUUGACUGAUCGGACUCCAAUCUUCCACUGCUCCGUUACAACACUUUUCAGUUUUGCCAUUCCGCCAUCUCUUCACCGUUAGUCUAUAAUCAGUUUUUCUAUUUCAGAUUCUCCACCCCUUUCUCUUAAUUUUAUAUCUCACUAAUUGGUUGUACCUAUAUGUUAUCACUUGACAAAUCCAAAGCAAUAGUUCACCACGCGGGCGCCUCCUGCCGCCAGCAAAAUGCCACUCCGUGGUGUCUCCUUAGAACAGUUGUUUAUUAAAUUUUGCAUCAUGUGGUUGGUUAGUAGCUUACAAGGGUAGCAAUAGAUAGUGCAGUGAUAUUCCUAUCUCCAGUUAAAAUCGAAACCUCCAUGCCUACAUGUGAAAGAGAUUCUAUCACUUCUGGUACCCUGUUUAGAUUUGACUUAUUCGGCUUUGAUGCCUAGCUUUGUCUAGCUUUGAACAAUGAAUAAUAUGUGGGUGUAUACAUCAACCAAUGUAAAGGCUGAUAUUAUCCUCCUUUCCGAAAAAAUUACUAUUGUGCUAGCAUUCUCGUAUACUAACUAUCAGUUCUCAAAUUCAGGCUAACUCAAUUCAUGCAUACCAGAGAAUACUUGUUAGAACAAGUGAUGAUAUUUGUGGAGAUGUGACUUUGUAGAAAGUACAUUGUCCAACUCUUUGUCGGUAAUCAAAACAUUAAACUGUCAACACCUUUGACAUAUUAAAUGUAUUUCAUACUGCCCCAACUCUUCAAAUGGCAAAACUGAUUAUGGACUAGCGGUGGAGAGAUGAUGGAAUGGCAAAACCAAGGAGUGUUGUAACGAAGCAGUGGUAAGAUUGGUGUUUCCAUCGGUCAAAUGACAAAACUGAGAUUGGGGUUGGUCGUCGUGGCAGAAAUGAUAAAAACGCUUUAAACAUUGCCUAGAGCAUGUCGAGGAUAGGCAAUAUAGUGCUCAUUAAGGCCAUGUACAAUGCAAGGUGCUAAGCGAGGUGCUUACAGAAAUAAACCAAGCUUUUUCAUAAGCACCAACGCUUAUUUCUAUAGGAGAGGCUGCCUAGUUAGGCAUCUGUCUAGUAUGCAUAAGCACGAGGUUUAUUUUUCUAGGCACCUCCAUAAGCACCUUGCAUUCUACAUGCCGGUGAGCUUUUCAUGUUGUACCUGCCUAUACAGUGAGCCUGGAAACAGAAUCAGCACGCCUCACCAUCAUCCGACAUGAUUAUGGAGUAGAACAACGAUGUUCUACAAAAGAACUUGAAAGAUUCAAUGUAGGGCAUCAAUGAGAAGUUUGAACAAUAAAAACGUAAGAAGCAAUAAUUGUACAUGCAUGCUGAUCAAAUUACAGUGGUAUCAUACAAACCCAAAUACAAGUCAGAGUCAGCGUGGCUGAAUGACGCGGAGGCGACGCCUCACGUUGGCAUCGAGAGGUCUCUCUCCGCCGCUAGCUCGUCCUCGUCUUGUGCCGGCAAAAUGCCUGCAUCUCUAGGGUCCUGGUUCUCAUGUUUGUCCGAGGAUACUAUCAAUGGGAUGGUGGAUGACUCCCCAGGGAUUGUGGUGUGGGCUUCCCCUCGCCGUCAUCCCGGUUCUUGGAGCGAAGGUCCCCAGCAUCAGGUAUGGCAAACUAUUUUUUCAAGGAUGUAGCGGUUGAUAGCUCUAGUUGUUCUAGAUUGCGGCUCUCGUCGCCGCCACGGACUACUCCUAUCUCAGACGACGAGGUUCUGCGGCGCUCUUCCUCGUCGCUGGUGGGAAGGCGUGGCAUCCGGAUCGAUAAGUGGCAUGGCCACCACCACGACCUCGCUUUACACCGCCACUGGUCCUGGGUCAGUUCAUGUUGGCUGAGCUCUCCUAGUCACCGGCGUCCGAUGCUCCAUCGGCAGUGGUCGUCCAUCUGCCUGGUGCGGACACAACUGAAGAGGUUGGAUCGACCUCCCUCUACCAGAGUAUAACUAAAGAGACGUGAGUAAGUAUGCGAGAUGUGUUGACUUUGGAAUUUAGAUUUAAUUUAGCAGGACUAAGCAGACUGGGGGCAUCCUAUAUCUGGAGCCAUCUUAAAGCCCUGUUUGGCAUCAAAGUAUAUUUGUUAGCCAUGCGUUGGAAUACUGUAGUUUAAAAGAAAAACUUCGAUUUAGAAAAAAAUGAUCUACCAGAGCCUAAAUGUCUGUGAGAUACUUUUCUUGUCUAAGAUUAGCGACGCUGAAAGGAUACAAUAAUACAGGCCGACAUGUUUACUUGAUGUUAGCUUCGAAAUUUUAGAAAGACCGCAACCAUUAGACUAAAUUUGCUAGCUGACCAUGUUGUUAGAACAACGGAAAAAAACCUUCAUGCAAGGAAUAAAGAUCAUAGAUGGGUUGGUGAUCCCGCAAACGGUCAAUGAAAAGCACCGGAGAAAAACAGCCCAUAUGUAACACAAAAUCACAUCCACACUAGGCAAACAUCAAACUAUGAGUCAAAAAUAGAAUGUUUUAUACCUCCAAUCGGCCUCAGCUGCUACUAGUUCUCCAAGGAAUCUGCAAUUAGAACAGAUGAAAAAAUCAGCCAAAAAUAGCGUUGUAUGGCUGCUAGAAGGGAGGGUUCAGUAGAGAAGAAGAGGGCCAAGAACGUCACCCGUGAGGUUGUACGCCACCGCUGCCGUUCACCCUCCUGCCACCGCCGUUCCCCUGACGUCGAUCUAGGGUUAGGGGCGAGCUUAGAGAGGAGGUGAUUCGUCCUGGUGAUUCAGAUUCAUUAAUGAAGACUAACAAAUGAAGACUAACAAACGACCUGCAAAAAAAAAACUAAGCAUUUGAACUGUAUAUGAAUGAAAGGAGAGCAGCCUGGUCAACCUUUUAACGGGGAGACGUUCAUUCACCUGGUGAUUCGUCCGUUGGUGAUUCAUCCGUUAUCCGACGGUUCCCAGCGUACCUAAGCAAGCACACGAUCCGUGUGCUCCUUUCUAAUUGGUCAGAGGGAGGAUAUAGAUGACGCUGGUUCUAUGCCAAAUUGGCUUGUGCUUGUGCAUAGAGGUAGUCCGUGCUGAUACCUCCAGAGAGCUUCUACCUCCACGUCCAGCUGUGCCUCAAAGCAACAAAACCUUUCAAAAACAUCCACUUAUAUCAUUUUUCUUGUCUAACUAAAGAGUACUUCCUCCGUUUCUAAAUAUAAGUCUGUUUAUAUAUUUCAGUACAAACUAUACACAGAUAUAUAUAUAUAGACAUAUUUCAGUGCGUAGGUUCACGUGUUUUGCUUCAUAUGUACUCCCUCUGUUACAAAAUAUAAGAACGUUUUUAACACUACACUAAUGUUAAAUACGUUCUUAUAUUAUGGGACGCUGUCACAAAAUAUAAGAACGUUUUUAACACUAUACUAAUGUUAAAAACGUUCUUAUAUUAUGGGACAGAUAUAUAGGUAGUUUAUAUUUGGAAUCUCUAUUUACGACACAGAGGGAGUAUAAAGAAAGGGUGUGUGCUCCUUAUUAGGCAAUGCUCGUUUUUAGAUAUUAUUCAUCUGCAGUUGAGCAGGCAGAUCGGCCACGGUUGCUUGAGCUUCACGGGCAUUCUGCAUAGUGUUUAUCUAAACAAAGAAAGGUAAUAUGGACACUUAUAGAGUACAUUAAGCAUACCAAUAAGAAAGCACUCAUUCGAUGUUACUCCAGUUAUAGAGUACAUUAAGCAUAUCAAUAAGAAAAGCACUCCUGCCUCAACUUGUUUGGGACAAAAGGCUUAGUAAAAAAAAAGAUGCAUUCGUAUUUUGUAGUCCAUUUGAUUUGAAAUGUUUAGAAAGACAAAUAUUUGGGAACGGAGGGAGUAACAAUCAUGAUUUGAGUAGCUCAAGGAAUAAUGUAAACUCUGGCUGCUAAAUUAGCUAGCUACUCCAACCACAAAAGCCCGCCACGCGUCAGCAGCCCCAGGUGCUGGGGUUUUUUUUAGGGGGGAGGGGGGGUGUUAGGGGUUUUGGAGGGCUUAGGGGUUUCAGAUUGUGUUAGCUAGCUACUACAUAUAAAGAGAAUUGACCUCUCUUUCUCCAUGCUUGGUCGACAUACCUUUUUUUCUCCGUGCUUGGUCGAUGCUAGCUACUACAUACGUUGACCAAGCAUGCAGAAAGAGAGGUCACUUCUCUUUAUAGGUAGAUAUGUAGUAGCUAGCAUCGACCUUACUACUACAUAUAAAAAGAAGUAACCUGUUUCUCCGUGCUUGGUCGACGCUAGCUACUACAUAUAGAGAGAACUCGACACUAUAGUAAGUAACUGAAGGAAAUCAUUAAUUACACAAGAUCGUCAUGAACAUAUAUAUAGACAGAACAACAAGUUUUCGUAUAUCUAUCCGACGCUAGCUACUACAUAUAUACAAUAUAUAACAUCCCUCACAUCAUCAAGCACCAAUGUCUCAUUCAAUUUCCGUAUGGCAUUCUCCCUUUUCAGAUAUGAUGUGGUUAAAAAAGAAUUCCGCCAAUUCCUCUUGAAUAACUCGUAUGCGAUCAGUUGGUAGGAGUCCAUCCCGCAUCCGCCGGAUCUAAUUUAAAUAAGGAGGUCAAUACAUACAUAUGAAUGAAACUCAACACAAUUGAAUGUAAUAAAAUAAAAUUGUGAAUCUUGUUUACGUACUUCAUAUUGUUCGUCGGAGUAGCCCUGCUCAGAGGUAUUGGUGGCGAAUGAACUCGCAAACGUACUAUCCACAUAAAUUAUUCCCGCCUUCCUGCCACAAGCAAUUUACGAGAAUUGAGUUCAAUCAAACUGAAAAUCAAGCAUGAUAACGGUAUUGAUGAAAGUAGAAUCAAUGAGAGAUGUGCGGAACUAGCUAGUACUACUUACUUUGGGGCGUGUUGCAGCUCGUUUUUCAGACCCGGAACCAUUCCGAUGACUGUUUCCAUACCGCCUGCCUCCCGUUACUGCUGCACCACCUUCAAUCCAACAACAACAGGCUAAACUUGCAUGACAUGCCGGUCGCAGGCAUGACUUGACGUCUCCGUAUAAGACGCCAUACAUAGCAUCCGCCGGUAGCACGUCCACCGGUGGCUUCAUCUCCCGAUGACAGGCACUGCCCGACAACUUUGAGAGAGGCUCAUGCGUCAAAUGCAGAGCCGCAUCGAACCCGGUCUGUUGAUGAAAGGGACGUCCCAUACCGCCACCAGCCUCAGAAGGCCGUCACCAUCUCGAGAUCCGAACUCCGAGUCGCCCACACGACCCCGAAGUUUGCCGCCAGUGAUGAAGAGGGGCCGCCGCCCCGAUUCCGGGCGCUAAAGGAGCACCCACCGUCGCGCCAGCCGCUGUCAUCGCCCAUACAACGGCGACCGCCGCCACGAUCCCGCAUCAAGCGCCGUCGACGCCGGAGGAAGCUCCAACCGCCACGGCAUCCUGCACCAAAACAACCCGGGACUUGUCGUCGGCAAGCACAUGCACGCCUAGGGGUUCGCUCGCAGCUGUGCGUGCCCGGCUUUAACCAGGAAGGACCACCACGGACGCGGCAACCUUGGCUCAAUUCAGCAAGGAGGAGAGAGCGGAAACAUGGGUUGGCGGCCUUCAUUAGCAAGGAGACUCGUGGCGGUGGUCGUCGUUGCCGAGGCAACUCAUGACGAAGGCAUAGUUGAUGAGGGAUCUCCGGGCGGCGGCUCGCUUAAGUGAGUUGCAGGGUGAGGGGGAAGGCGAGUGCCUCGUCGCGGCCAACAAGAUCACCGGAGGCAGGGGAGUCGCGGGCUCGGCAGCGGGGGUGUUUGUGGUAUCGGCGGCGGGUGUGUUGGGGCUCCGCGGUGGCGGGGAAAAGUGCGGGAGGUGUUGGGGAAUUGGGCCGAACCAGUAAGGGCAUUUCUGGUGUUGUAUGUGUUUUCACGGAAGGGCAAACCGGUCAUCCGCCACUUUGAAGCGGGCUGCGAGGAGCAAAAGCCCGAAUUUUCAGUUGCAGCUUCUACUUGCUGCUGCAAGCACUGCAUGGAGCUAGUUCUGAAACAACCCGUUUGUUAGCUGUAGAAGACAAUGAAAAGAGCCCAAACAAACACAUCCUUACACUUGGGAUCCGCCAAGACUCAUCAGCUUUGACUUACACCCUCUGUCAUACACCGCCUUGAUAGUUAAUACUCCCUUCGUUUCUCUUUUACUUUGCAUACAAGAUUUGUCUUGAGUCAAAUUUUAUAAAGUUUGACCAAAUUGAUAUAAUAGAGAAGUUGAUUCAAUGAUGCAUCUAAUGGCGGCGUCGAUUUUAUAUUGUGAAUGUUUAUCUUUUUACUAUAAUCUUAGUCAAACUUUAUUAUGUUUAACUUUAGAUAAAUUUUAUAUGCGGAAUAAAAAGAAAAUAGAUUCAAACUUCAUAAAGUACUCAGUAGUAGGUGUGACUGAGACUUAUAUUAAAUUAAUGGUACCACUUGUUUAUCGUGGCUUCUUCCGCCCGUCUGGAUCUGGUGGGCAGAACCAGGACACCACCGUUGAAUUCCAUAGCUGGCUGGCUAAUCUCCGCCGAGCUGAGCUGGGUGGAGAGAUGCUGCGGAGCACCUUGCCGCUGCACCGGGUGACGGCGAAGAACAAGGAGGCGUGGAGGAAGGAGGCGUCGAAGAAGAAGGUCCGGAUCCUGGGCAGGGCGGUGCUGGUCAAGAGCGACGUGCUCGACCUCGGCGACUUCCACUCCUCCCUCCUCGACGGCGCCCAAAAGUUGCUCGACAAGGACGACGGCAUCUGCUUCCACCUCGUCAGCGCCACCCUGCCAGACCCCAGUAAUUAAGCGCUCCGUUCCCCUCUCUUCCUUUUCCCUCCUCCCUGCAUUUUCUUGUUGUCUGGGUUCUGCGAGCGGCAGGUCAAGAGCAAGAAACAAUACAAAAAAGAAAAAGGAAAAACAGCUCGCGGAUUUAUCUCUCGGCUGAAACAGCCAGAUCGAUUGAUCGAAUAAUGCGUUGAUUUUUGUCGCAGGCAAGGGGAAUAGGGGAUGGGUGGGGAGGCCGGCGCACCUGCAGGAGAUGGUGGUGACCAACAAGUCGACAGCGGCGGGGGAGUCGGUCUUCACGGUGACGUUCGACUCCGACGAGUCGCAGGGCAUCCCCGGCGCCGUCAUCGUCAGGAACAGCCACCGCUCCGAGUUCCUCCUGAAGACGCUCACCAUCGACAGCGUCCCAGGCAAGAGAACCGUCGUCUUCGUCGCCAACUCCUGGAUCUACCCAAACGAUGACCGCGUCUUCUUCGCCAACGAUGUGAGUACAAAUCCAUUUUCCAUUUUCACCACCUUCAACCCAAAAAUAAUAUUCUUCAUGUCUGGUCUGCUACACCCAAUCAUACUAAAAUAAUUGUGAUGGAUCUUUACCAGAAUUGGAUCCUAGGCAACUCUUUUUUACUACCCCAAAGAGAGGGGGUAUUAGUUUUCAUUAUUUUGUAGCCAUUUUGGAUAGUUUGUAAAUUACUUUUAUUAAUUCUUAAAUGAUAAAAUAAAAUUUAAAAAAAUAUUUGCCACAGAUGAAAUGCGUCGGCCGGUUGGGUGCGCCGGGUGGACAAGAGCUGGUAAUUGUCCACGGUGCCCGUUGGAUCGAGUUACCCUUAAGUACUAACCAUCUAUUGGGAGUUGUGGGAAGAGAGGAAUGCACAAAUCUUUCGUAAUAAUGCCAUUUCCAUAGGAGUCAUUGUUGCUAGGAUUAAGUAGGAGACCUCACUUUGGAUCUCACUUUGGAUCAUUGUGGGAGUGAGGCAUUUGAAUAACGUAAUGCUAUCUUAAUAAAGAGCUGAUUCAGAUAGCAAGUUGAUUGCAUUCAGAUAACAGACCUCACCUUGUAUUUAAAUAUAGCAAGUUGAUAGCUAAUCCCCCGCGGCUGGAGGCUCUCCUCGCACGACGCAGCUGCUGAGGCGCGAUGCGGUGGCGGGAGCAGGGCCGGUCUGGACGUGGCUGCAGGUGGACGCAGUGGCUGCAUAAUAUUCUGAGCAAACCUGGCCAAAUGGGCCAGCCCGGCACGGCACGGCCCGCCCUGAGAUAAACGGGCCAGGCACGGCACGGCCCGCUCAGGCACGCGAACUACUCGGGCCGUGCCGAGCCGGCACGCGUGCUGGCCUUCGAGGCCCAGGCACGGCCCCUGGCUAUACGUGCUGGCCCGUUGGCCCGUAUGGCCCGAGGUAGCCCGCCGGCACGAGGUGGCCCGAUUUUUUCAAAAAAAGCACGUCACAUGGGUGGUGCAGGCUGCAGGCGCGCUCGUCGGCUUAGGCUGGUCACAAUGGGCAAGAACAUAAGCUAGUAACUUACACACUUCCCUAGACUAUGUUACUACCUCCAUAGUGAAUAGGAACAUCUAUGUAGUGUCAUACAACAAUGUAUUUAUUAGGUUAUAGACUCAUUGUUUCUUGAAGUGUGUGAUGUUCCGGUAACUUAGCUAGUUAUCACAAACACCUCUCUCUUCAUUAAAUAUGUGCCACACAAGCAAAGUUGUAUUAGAGUGUGUGAUGUUACUCCUAAGUUCCUUCCCAUUGUGACCAGCCUUAUGCCAUCGAUGCAGGCAUGCAGCAACGCAGGGCUGCAGCCUUCAUGCAUGCAUGCAUGCACGUCUCGCUUCGUUUUUUAGUACAUGUUUUCGUUGUACCUGGUAUGUGGCACUAGCACGAUAGCAACAGUAGGUUUUGCUACGUUUAUUACUUCCAAAGAAUUUGUAGGACGUUUAUUACAUCCAAAAAAUAAGAAGAAAGUUUGUAUGUCAGAAAAUAAGUAUAGAAAGUUGAAAAAAUAUAUGACAAUGUGUCAUCAUGUGGGAUAAAUUUUGAGCUUUAUUAAAGCAUGCCUCAUUAAAACCUUCCGUCCCUAAGAAGUAAAAGAGUACAAUGCCAUGCUCAAGAUAAAAAAACGAAAAUUACAAAGAGUACAACUACAUGGCUUGGUGCCCUGCGGCCUGCUCGUCUGUCUUGUCGUGUUUCUGCUUAUGGCGAUGAAGGUGGCCGAUUCCUCCGUUCCCCAGGCUCAACAAGAUUCCACAUCUUUUGCACUUAGCUUUACGCACGUUGACACCAUCCACCACAAAUACUUCUUCAUCAAAGUAGUUCCAGACGGGCGAGACUCUUCGUUGAACAUUUGGAGCAUCCAUGUGUUGAGUGUGGAAAUGAGAUGGGGUUUGAGUGUGAGAAAUAAGAGGGGGUAGGAAGCCCUUUAUAUAGCCAAAAAACUUACUAUCUUUACAUGGGAUGGCACGUUAGGCACGCUAGGCACGGUAGGCACGGUAGGCACGUUAGGCAAAAAUAAGUCCAAAAAAAUAAAAUGAGGAAAGUGCCAUCAUGUGGGAUAAAUGAGGAAAGUGCCAUCAUGUGGGAUAAAUCUCGAGCUUUAUUAGUGACUGCCUCAUUAAAACCUUCCAUCCCUGAGAAGUAAAAGAGUACAAAGCCACGCUCUAGAUUACAAAAGGAAAAGAAAAUUACAAAAUCAUAAGAAAAUUACAAAAGGAAAAAAUAUAAAGACCUAAUUUGCCCUACAAUGUUCAAAUAUUCAAAAAUGAGACAAAACAUACCUAAACCCCUCUAAACCCCCCUAAACCCCUCUAACCCCACACUAAACCCCACCCAUCGCUGCCACCGGAGGAGGGCACGUCACACGCUCCCCCCUCGCUCCUCCCUGACCAGAUCACCAGACGAGAGACGAGCAACGGUUCUUUCUGCUAUCGAUGGAACCCAUCCCGUGCCGUGCGUGCCGUGCCGUGCUGGGCCAUGCUCGUGCCUGGCCCAUUACUGUGCGUGUCGUGCCGGGCAUAGCAGCCCAGGCACGGCCCUAGCCGGCCCACGUGCCAGGCACGGCCCACUUCGCCUCGUGCCGUGCUGGCCCAUGACGGGCCAGGCACGCGGGCUUUCAUGCCAGCCCAUUUAACAGGCCCGUUUGGUCAGGUUUGAUUCUGAGCAGUUCAAAUAUUCGGCCUAAUUUGGAGUUUCAGCAUCCGGAUGACCCAAAAGUGCAUGUACAGCCCAUGUUUAAAUACACGCUGCAAUACAAGUAUUUCUUAAGUGAUGAAAAUGACAUAGAUAGAUGUAUGAGUAAGUUAGAGUGGCAUUUUUCCAAGUGGUGAAAGUCGUUGCGGCAUAGAUCCAAUUAAUGGCAAACUGGAAAUAGAUACUAGGAGUACGUAGGAGUACUCAAGAAGAAAAGAUGCCAAAUUGCCAAGUUGAUUUGGUACAGACAAGCAACUUCCAGGUUACUAUUAUUUGGUCAGAUCCAUCACCUAAGCUGUAAAGUUGCUGUUGCUGGGUCCGGGCCUAGUCUUUGGGUCAAGUCAACGGCUGGCCUUUCGUUGUGUCAAUAAUGCCUUGUUAGGAAAAUGUAGUGCAUAGUAGAUAUCCUAUACGUCGCAUAAAAUUCAUAUUAGCAUGAAUGAAAAAGUAAGCUUUUUGAGAACUUCGGUCCUUUGAUUGUCUGCUGAUAGUAAAACAUUUUGCUUGGCUGAUCGAUUCAAAAUGACCGACCGAGUGCUGUGCCAGGCUGCUGGCUACCUUCCCUGCAUGCUCAACAACUCCUUUCCGACUAAUUCUUAAGUUUUUUCCUAAGAUAAUGAACUGAUAUUACAAGUUACCAGUAACGACGAAGAUUGUAAGUUGCAAAUGCCAUCAACUUGCUAUCUGAAUAAGCUUCUGGAAUCUCUGGAUCCACAACUAGCUGUUAGAUCUUAAAAGCAAGGUGGCAACUUUUCUACUGUUUACCAAAAGGAACAGCUUUAUUUAACUGUUCCCCUGAUGAUCAGAGGAAUGGGAGACAGAAAUACGAAACCGUUUUCAGAAAUAGUAUAUCACAAAUGACACACUUAGUUAUCUAUUUCUCACUGGUUAAUUAGUAGCAUUCUCAUUUUAAAUCCGUGAGCACCUGCUAGAGGUUUGGGGACUGAGUAAAACUACUCUAUUGUUUUUUGAAUCUGUCACCUCAUUUUUCUUGCUAUUUUGCAGACCUACCUGCCCAGCAAAAUGCCCGCACCUUUGGUGCAAUACCGGCGAAACGAACUCAUCAAUCUCCAAGGCGACGGUACAGAAAGAGAGUAUAAGGAGCAUGACCGUGUGUACCGCUAUGACUACUACAAUGACCUGGGAGAGCCAGGCAGGGGCGAGAUGUAUGCACGGCCGAUCCUCGGCGGCAGCCAAGAACUUCCAUAUCCCCGCCGUGGCAGAACAGGCCGAGGCCCAACAAAAACAGGUGAGUUUUGGUGUGGUAUAUCUUCAACUAUGCACAACCAUGUCACCUUGCAAUUGGACUCAUAUUGGGGGUUUGAUCUUGUCACCAGACCCUAGAUCAGAGAGCAGAAUUCCUCAGUACAAGGUCAUGAACAUCUAUGUCCCACGCGAUGAGCGCAUUGGGCACCUCAAGUUGUCUGACUUCCUUGGGUACUCUCUCAAGGCCAUCACCGAUGCUGUUCUUCCGAUAAUUAGGACCUAUGUUGACAGUACACCCAAGGAGUUUGAUUCGUUUCAAGAUAUCUAUGAUCUCUAUGAUGGUCUUCUGAAAUUGCCCAUUAACCAACACUCAAAGGAGCUCAAGAAUAAAAUCCCCCUUCAUUUUAUUAAAAGUGUUUUACCAUCUGUUGGUGACGACUUCCUAAACUUGCCCCUUCCACAUGUUAUCAAAUCAGGUAAUCAGCUGUGUGCAUGACUUAAAACGGCCAUCCCUUGUUUUACAUUUUAUACUUCUUGCAAUUUAUUUUCUUAAAUUGUAGAUCCGUAUGCUUGGAAAUCAGAUGAGGAGUUUGCACGUGAGAUGCUUGCAGGCAUGAACCCGGUUUGCAUCAGACGUCUGACGGUUAGCACCUACAUAUGACAUUUAAAGAAGAAUAAACCAUCUCCUCAUAAUCGAUUGAGAAUUCCUCAUUUGUUUUCUAUUUUAUGACCACAGGAGUUCCCUGUAAAAAGUACUCUGGAUCCAAGUGUGUACGGGGACCAGUCAAGCACAAUCACUGAAGAUCAAAUUCAGCAGAACCUGGAAGGCCUCACAGUGACACAGGUGUGUUCAAUGAAUCAUUGAGCUAUUUUGUGGUCAAAAAAGGAAAUUUCAUUGAGCUGCAAAUUGCUAGUGAACCGCAUAUGGAGAGAUUGAUUGUCCUAACAACCAUGUAUUGUGCAGGCAAUGGAGAGUAACAGGCUCUUCAUUUUAGAUCACCACGAUAACUUCAUGCCAUUCCUUGACCGCAUCAACAAGUUGGAAGGCAACUUCAUCUACGCUUCAAGGACCCUGCUGUUCCUGAAGGCCGACGGUACGCUGAAGCCCUUGGCCAUUGAGCUGAGCCUGCCGCACCCUGAUGGGCUUCAGCAUGGCGCAGAGAGCAGGGUGUAUGUUCCGGCUGACGAACGAGUUGACGGCCAGAUCUGGCAGCUUGCCAAGGCUUACGCCUGCGUCAAUGACUCUGCUUGGCAUCAACUAAUCAGCCACUGGUAUGAAUGAUGAGUAUAUGUAGAUUCCAAUUGAUACCAAAUUAGUGCUGAGCUUUUAUAGUGUUUCUCUAGGUUGAACACACAUGCGGUGAUGGAGCCGUUUGUGAUUGCGACGAACCGGCAACUGAGUGUGGUGCAUCCCGUGCACAAACUGCUGAGCCCACACUACCGCGACACGAUGAACAUCAACGCCAUGGCGCGGACGGUGCUCAUCAACGCUGGCGGCUUAUUUGAGCUGACUGUCUUCCCAGGAAAGUACGCGCUCGAGAUGUCUUCAGUAGUGUAUAAGAAGUGGAAACUCACCGAGCAGGGCCUCCCCGACGACCUAGUCAAAAGGUAAAAAGAGGAGCUCAUUUUUUUUAGCGUGGAAGAAUAUUUGACUGAAGAUGGAUUUCGCUUGCUUGUUUGUGUGCGCAUUGCAUGCAGGGGCAUGGCUGUGCGAGACCCGUCGAGCCCAUACGGCAUCCGUCUGCUGCUAAAGGACUACCCGUACGCCGUGGACGGGCUGGCGAUCUGGUGGGCAAUCCAGCAAUGGGUGAAGGAGUACUUGGGCAUCUAUUACCCCAACGACUGCGUGCUCCAAGCUGACAAGGAGCUAAAGGAGUGGUGGAAAGAGGUCCGCGAAGUCGGGCACGGCGACCUCAAGGACGAGGACUGGUGGCCCAAGAUGGAGACCGUCGAGGAGCUGGCCAAGACAUGCAUCACCAUCAUCUGGGUGGCGUCGGCCCUGCACGCGUCAGUCAACUUUGGGCAGUACCAGUACGCGGGGUACCUCCCAAACCGGCCGACGGUCAGCCGGCAGAAGAUGCCGGUGCCCGGAACGGAGGAGUACACACAGCUGGAGCGUGGUGACGAGGAGGCCGACAGGGUUUUCAUCCACACCAUCAGCCAGUACUUGCAGAGCAUCCUCGGCCUCACCCUCAUCCAGACCCUGUCGAAGCACUCGUCGGACGAAGUGUACCUCGGGCAGCGCGACACGCCGGAGUGGACGUCGGAUGCCAAGGCACUGGAGUUGUUCGAAAGGUUCGGCACACAGCUGGUGGAGAUCGAGGAGCGGAUCACGGCGAUGAACAAGGAUCCGGCGCUCAAGAACCGGAACGGGCCGGUGAAUAUGCCGUACAUGCUGCUGUACCCCAACACGUCGGACCUCACCGGCGAUCGAGCCUGUGGGCUUACUGGCAUGGGCAUCCCCAACAGCGUCUCCAUCUGAGCCUCCGUCGUCGGUUUGUUGUGUCGCGCAGUGCACUGCGUUUCUUUCUUACAAUGUUGUCAUGUCGUCAAACAAAGAAUAAGUAGUAUUGGCCCCCGAUUAUUUUUUCUGUAAUUUCCAAACGUUCAGAUAACUUAGGUACAAAAAUUCCAUGGUAACUUUGAGNNNNNNNNNNNNNNNNNNNNNNNNNNNNNNNNNNNNNNNNNNNNNNNNNNNNNNNNNNNNNNNNNNNNNNNNNNNNNNNNNNNNNNNNNNNNNNNNNNNNNNNNNNNNNNNNNNNNNNNNNNNNNNNNNNNNNNNNNNNNNNNNNNNNNNNNNNNNNNNNNNNNNNNNNNNNNNNNNNNNNNNNNNNNNNNNNNNNNNNNNNNNNNNNNNNNNNNNNNNNNNNNNNNNNNNNNNNNNNNNNNNNNNNNNNNNNNNNNNNNNNNNNNNNNNNNNNNNNNNNNNNNNNNNNNNNNNNNNNNNNNNNNNNNNNNNNNNNNNNNNNNNNNNNNNNNNNNNNNNNNNNNNNNNNNNNNNNNNNNNNNNNNNNNNNNNNNNNNNNNNNNNNNNNNNNNNNNNNNNNNNNNNNNNNNNNNNNNNNNNNNNNNNNNNNNNNNNNNNNNNNNNNNNNNNNNNNAACAUACCAAACGAUAACUUUCGUUCAGAACAUACCCCGGUAGCUUCUGCGUAAAUAACAUAGUAAUAUAUGAACCGUGGAGCUGAUAACUUAUGUACAAACACCCGCAACAACCUUUGACCCGGGAAAAAGUUGUUGUAAAUAUACCUCUAACAAUCGCCGUAACUUAUUUAACAAGGAAAAAAUUGUUGAAAAACAUACCCCAGUAACUUAUGUACAAUAGCACGGUAAUAUAUGAACCGGAAACCCGAUAACUUAAGUAGAAAACACUGUGAUAACUUUGACCUAUGGAAAAAUAGUUGAAAAUACAGAUGGAUCUGGGACGUGAACAACGGAUUAACGUGAACAACGGAUCCAUCCGUCGAUGAGUUCCUUAACACGACCUUGAAUUGUUUCCAAAUCUACCAUUAGCUUGCUUUUUUCCGAAAUUGGGCGCUUUAUUACUUAAAAGGUUUAAGCAUUACACCCGGCCUACUAAGAUACACAUAGCCAACAAAUUCCUCACGACAAGUCAAAAUAAAAGAAGGCGAAAUACGAAGAAGAAUAUUUAUAUGACGCCUAAAUCGUAGGUAGCCAAUCCUAAGAUCAUGCUGCCAUCCAUGUUGGGUAAAAGUACCCCUCGCCGUAGCCUCCAAACGUGUACACAACUCUGUAAACAUGUCUUGAUUCUCCACUCGCUGUAGAGAAAACUAUAAAUGAAGUGUCCCGGUAUAUCUGUAGAUAACCUGCAUGAAAGAAAUACAGCCAAGUUUUUUUUUUGCGAAAAAACUUCCAAUCUAUUCAUCUUCAAUCAUGGCAGUACAACGAAUACCAGAAAUAAAAAUUACAUUCAGAAUUGUAGACCACCUAGCGACGACUACAAGCACCGAAGCGAUUAACAAUGUGUGAACGUCUAUGUACCACGUUUACCACGUUCAGACCUGCAGGCCCCCCUAAAUAAUUUGUAGGACCUCGAUCCAUGGCCAAGUCUUCUCACAUCUAAGAUUUGCUAGGCCUUGUUUAAUGGUUAAUUAAUGUCUGCCUGUUGUCGAGAGCUAGCUGAGAUCUCAGGUCGACAGAUGGUCUGGAAUGGGGAACAAAGGUGAGGUAUUCUCAUUUGUUCAUUUGUGAAGCCAUGACUGGUCACCUGUAGGCUAUUGUUUGCUAAUAUGUGUUCAUCAUUAUGUCUUGAAGCAAACAUGAAAAAUCAUAUACCUACACCUGUGUUCUCUAUGAUGAGCUGGUAUCAUUUCCAUUAUAUUUUGUUACCGGAUUAAGAGCAAAGCAGUGCAGCUCAAAUUAACAGAAUCGUGAACUUCAAACAUAGCAGCGAAAUGAAGCAUCAAUUUUCUUUUCAAGGAGCAAAAGAUCAAAGCAUGUUUCAGAGCCAGGUAUAGCAGUGUUUUUUUUAGAACGAAGACGCUAGAAGUGUCUGGCUUUAAAUUAAUAAAGCCCACAACGGACCAGGUAUAGCAUGUUUCAGAGUAGCAAACGGACGGACCAAAAGCAAAAGCCCAAGGCGUAGCUAGAGACUUAGUCAAGAAGGGUUCGUAGCCGGGCUGCGAGCACGUUACAUGGCCGAAGCCCAUGGACAGGAGCGUGCAGGCUCGCGAAACAAAAGAUCACUCCCAUCAUUAGGGACGCGUCGCCGGCUCCCUAGCCGCCACGUAGACUUGGUGAACUCGUUCUUGCGUGUGCUUCAUCAUCUCAGAGUCCUUCUGCUUCGCAACGGACUCCACUGCUGCAAGAGGAUAGAGCAUUUGCAUAUGAUAUUAGCCGGGUGCGAUGGGAAUGACCCCUCAAUGGUAAAUUUGUUGCGGGUGAGCCAUAAGGACCAUAACAUCGCCCCUAUACUAGUCCACAUCACACGCUUGUGUUGACCCCGAACAGAAUCCAGGAGUCCCACAAGUUUGGAAGAGGAGCGCGGGUCCCAUGGGACACCGGCAGCCUCGCGCACAGUGCUCCAAGCAAACCUAGCUAGGGGACAUAGGAAGAAGACGUGGUUUGUGUUCUCGGGUUUCCCACAUAAUGCGCAAGGACCCGUUGCCGGGCCGUUCCGUUUUGCAAUGUUGAUCGACAUGGGGAGGCGGUCCCGGAACAAUUGCCAAAGAAAAACUUUGAUCUUUAGCGGAACGCGGGCUUGCCAAAGUCACAUCACCUCCCUCUGUACCAUCCCUUGGCACAGUUGGUUGUAUAAGGACUUGACAGAAAACUUUCCGGAGGCGUUUAGAUGCCACGACACCCUGUCGGGCUCAUUUGACAGCACAACGGGGGAAACCAGAUCCAGCAAAGUACCCCACCUAGCUGACUCCAGAGCACUAAGGCGCAGAAGGCUAUGGCCUGGGGGAGCCAAAGCCUCUGCCACCCUUUGGUUUGGAUGCACCGGAAGUGCAUACAAAUCCGGGAAAUCUUGCCAAAGGGGGCGAUUGCCGACCCAAAAAUCAAUCCAGAAACGGGUGGGACGGCAGUUGCCGACAUUGAAUUUGGCCCCCUGGUCAAAAGUCGGUCUAAUAGCCUGUAGGUCCUGCCAGAAAGGGGAGCCCCUCGCCUCGGCUUUGAAAAAAUUCCCGUUGGGGAAGUACUUCGCCCUAAGGAUAUCAGCCCAUAAGCCCGUCGCCCCUCGCGAAAGCUUCCAGAUCCACUCGCACAUGAGCGCAAUGUUUUGUAGUCUGGUAUUGGUGAUACCUAGUCCUCCCAAGGACUUGGGCCUACAUACCGCAGCCCAUUUGACCAUAUGGUAUUUGCGCUUGAGACCCGUCCCUUCCCAAAAUAAGCGGACCCACGGCAUGUCCAUUUUGGCGUGAACCCCCUCGGCCAACAGGAAGAGGCCCAUGGCGAACAUGGGAAGCGAGGACAGACUCGAGUUGGUCAGGACGAGUCUAGCCGCCGAGGACAUGAACUUGCCACACCAGGGGCUCACUUUCUUACCCAGUUUCCCAUUUAGAGGUGCCCAAUCAUCUAUGGUCACCCCUCAUGGUGCUAGGGGCAGUCCUAAGUACGUAAAGGGGAACUUUCCCAUUUUACAGUUGAGAAGGUCCGCGAUGCGUCGCCCCUCCUCGCUAUCUAUCCCCAUAGGUAGCAUUUCACACUUGUGAAAAUUGAUCUUGAGACCGGACACCAUUUCAAAGCUCACCGUUGCUAUGCUGCGAGUAUCUGGUUUGAACAGUAGCAGGGUGUCAUCUGCCUACUGCAAGUGCGAGAUCCCCCCUGGGAUGAGAUGGCCGACCACUCCCCUGAUGUGGCUAGUCGUGGUCGCCCUCCGAAGCAUAGCUGCAAGGGCAUCCACCCCAAAAUUGAACAACAGCGGGGAUAUCUGGUCACCCCUGACGCAGUCCCCGCUUAUUCCGGAAUAAGUUCCCUACUUCCCCGUUGAUCGAGAUGCCAGUCUGGCCACCCGAGACCAGCUGCAUCACUCGAUGGACUCACAUGACCGAGAAACCCCGACUGAGAAGGACCUGACGCAGAAAAUUUCAGUUCACGCGGUCGUACGCUUUUUCGAAGUCUUAUUUAAGAAGAAUGGCCGGUUCCCUAGUGCGUUUUAGCUCAGGGAAGAUCUCCUGCAACGCAGUUUGUGUGCGGCUAAUAGUACGGUGCGCGAUCGGGACGAGGCGGGAGGUGGUAGCUUUGGAACAGAUCUUAAAAGGCACAUUAAUAAGCGCGAUAGGUCUAAAUUGACGGAUGUACGUCAUCAGUUCCUGCCACCUUAGGGAUGAGCGAGAGGACCCCAAAGUUGAGCCUGGAGAUGUCUACUGUCCCACGCAUAAAACCGUUGCACACCUCGAACAUACGCCCCUGCAGGAUCGACCAGAAGUGUUUGAACAUUGGCACGGGCCACCCGUCCGGGCCUGGCGCAGUAUCAGUUUUCAUGCUCCUGAGAGCAGCAUCAAUCUCCUCGGGUAAAAAGGCGAGCCCCAGCUCCUCGUUUUCCCGAUCGGUGACGAGCUGGGAAAGGUCCCAUAUGUCAGCGCGCACCCCAGCUUGCUGAUCGUCGCUCGUCCCCAUCAAUUGGACAUAGAAGUCGUAAACAUGACGCACUAUAUCCGCCUGAGCUAGCAGUAACCCCUGUUCAGACUGCAAGCGAAGGAUCGCACAUCUACGUCGUCUCCCAUUAGUGUAGGAGUGGAAGUAUUUCGUGAUGGCAUCGCCUUUGAGGACCCACUUUAGGCCACCCCGAUGCCUCCAGUACUCCUCUUCUGCUCAGAGCAGGGACUGCACCUGGUCUUCCAACGCGUAACGACGGGCCCAUUCUAGUUCCGAGAAAGGCCUCACGUCAGCCUGUUGGUCAAGACUCGCGAUCUCUGUGAGGAUACUCUCCCUGAGCAUCCUAUCCUGGCGGCCCAAGUUGGCCCCCCAGCCCUUGAGACUAGCCCGAAGGUGGCUCCCUACCGCAAUCCAGAACUCCAUCGGGUCCCGUUGGCCCCCCAGCUAACGCAAAAGUUACACUUCACCCUGAAGAUGGAAUCGAAGUCUGGAUUUUCGAACCAAGCCGUUUGGAAGAAAAAUCGAGGGCUUCGACGAACCCUGUCCUCCCCUGAGGUAAGGAUAAGCGGGACGUGGCCCGACCCGAUCCUGGUCUCCGCGACAAGCGAGCAUAAGGGGUUAACCAGCUCCCAGUGAGGAGAGAUAAACACCCUAUCUAGCACUGAUCGCACCGGGGCCAGUUGCUUAUUCGUCCACGUGUAGCGAGCCCCAGACCGAGCCACCUCGCGAAGAGCCAUGGUGGCAAUGGCAUUAUUAAACAUGGUCACCCUUGGCCAGUUAAUAUUGCAGUUGUUCUUGUCCGCACCCGAGCGGAUCAGAUUGAAAUCCCCCCCCCCCAACUACUAGAGGAAUAAGUGAGGAGCUCACCGAGAGCACCUUCGAUUGCACUUCGCCCAAAAAUUCGACCGAUCUUGAGUGAUCAGCAGGUCUGUAGACCUGAAUCACCACCAGCUCCCUCUGAGACUGACGGUGGCGAAUGUGCCCUGCUAUAAAAAAAGGUGCCUGCAUCCCAUGCUAGCACCUCAUAGACAGCUUGGGCAAAGCCAAGCAGCAUGCCCCCAGAGUGCCCUGACGCGGCAAGGUGGUUCCAGGAAAACCUCUCCAGAGGGUCGAUGGCAAGCAGCUCAUGAUGACAAAAAUCUAACUUAAUGGUCUCCUGCAAGCCUACAAUGUCGAUACCCUCCUUCCGCAUGUACUCCUUUAGCUGGGAUCGACGCCCCACGUGACCGAACCCAUGAAUGUUCCAAAAGAUAGCACGCAUCUAGAUGAUUCGAUUGCAAAGGCGGAUGCCUCUCGAAGACACCGCUUCGGCCAUACGCCUCACCUUGGCCAUGCAAGGCAAGGGAGAGGGGGCAACCCCUUGUUGCCAACACCACCUCAUCGGGCUGAAUUGCAGGUGCUAGGGAGGCCCCUGGCUCCUGCACCAGCUGGUCCGUGCGCGCCGCAGCCGCAGCUACGAGCGCAGCUUGCACCUGCUCCUUCGUGCGCAGGAGAGGGAUCAACUCACGCGGACCCCCAAGACACGACGCGUCCACCCCACUCUCCUCUAACACCUCACUAAGAUGAUCAUCAGAGAACGCGUGCAGAACCAAAAAGUGAGGGGUCGGGUUACAUGUGUGCUCGAGGUUCUUCUGGGCCUGGAUGAGUUGCGCCCACUACAGCGCCGGCAGGUUUGCCUUGGUGCCCCUAUUGCGCGAGCUGGAACGCACCAGAGCCGCAGCCACUGCCUUGGAUCUCUUGGCCCGCGGGAUCGGCGCUGGUUGCCUCCUGGAGCAGAAUGUCUCCUGGACCCGUCGCCUCCAUUUCUCCGCUCGUUCUCUGCCGCGCCGAAGGCCUGCCGCGCCCUCGCCCUCGACGCCNNNNNNNNNNNNNNNNNNNNNNNNNNNNNNNNNNNNNNNNNNNNNNNNNNNNNNNNNNNNNNNNNNNNNNNNNNNNNNNNNNNNNNNNNNNNNNNNNNNNNNNNNNNNNNNNNNNNNNNNNNNNNNNNNNNNNNNNNNNNNNNNNNNNNNNNNNNNNNNNNNNNNNNNNNNNNNNNNNNNNNNNNNNNNNNNNNNNNNNNNNNNNNNNNNNNNNNNNNNNNNNNNNNNNNNNNNNNNNNNNNNNNNNNNNNNNNNNNNNNNNNNNNNNNNNNNNNNNNNNNNNNNNNNNNNNNNNNNNNNNNNNNNNNNNNNNNNNNNNNNNNNNNNNNNNNNNNNNNNNNNNNNNNNNNNNNNNNNNNNNNNNNNNNNNNNNNNNNNNNNNNNNNNNNNNNNNNNNNNNNNNNNNNNNNNNNNNNNNNNNNNNNNNNNNNNNNNNNNNNNNNNNNNNNNNNNNNNNNNNNNNNNNNNNNNNNNNNNNNNNNNNNNNNNNNNNNNNNNNNNNNNNNNNNNNNNNNNNNNNNNNNNNNNNNNNNNNNNNNNNNNNNNNNNNNNNNNNNNNNNNNNNNNNNNNNNNNNNNNNNNNNNNNNNNNNNNNNNNNNNNNNNNNNNNNNNNNNNNNNNNNNNNNNNNNNNNNNNNNNNNNNNNNNNNNNNNNNNNNNNNNNNNNNNNNNNNNNNNNNNNNNNNNNNNNNNNNNNNNNNNNNNNNNNNNNNNNNNNNNNNNNNNNNNNNNNNNNNNNNNNNNNNNNNNNNNNNNNNNNNNNNNNNNNNNNNNNNNNNNNNNNNNNNNNNNNNNNNNNNNNNNNNNNNNNNNNNNNNNNNNNNNNNNNNNNNNNNNNNNNNNNNNNNNNNNNNNNNNNNNNNNNNNNNNNNNNNNNNNNNNNNNNNNNNNNNNNNNNNNNNNNNNNNNNNNNNNNNNNNNNNNNNNNNNNNNNNNNNNNNNNNNNNNNNNNNNNNNNNNNNNNNNNNNNNNNNNNNNNNNNNNNNNNNNNNNNNNNAAAAAGAACAAUAAACAAAAAAAGAAAAGAAAAACGAAACAGAAAAAGAAAGGAAAAGAAAUGAAAAUAAAAAAAGGGUUGGGAACCCUCGUAGGUGCGUUCGCUCGACAGUUUGACGCAGACAGCGUCAUAUAGGAAAUUCCAACGUAUCCUAAUCACUGUUUCGGCGUCGGCUACAACGGGCCGGUGCAUUAGCAGCAGUACAGCCGCGGAGGCUGCAACUGCAGCCCGGCUAAGACCCAGGCUCGGCCAUAUCCAGCCCUGUGUGACGCUCUUUGCAUCAAAAAGUCGACGCGUCUCACAGGACGUAGCUCACCUGGGCCGGCCCAUUUUGGGUUCGCGACAUGAUAAAUUGGAAUUUCCUCCCUCUCCGUGACGCCGUCGUCUGCCGCCCCGUCUCGCGCUCUACCGCGACACCCUCUCCCACCCCUUCCUCGCCCCCUCCUUUUGCCACCGCCCUUUCGCCACCGCCACCGCCACCGCCCCCCUUCUUCACUUAAUUAAUUUGUUUGUACUACAUGUUUUCAGGACUGACAUAAUGGCGGACGAUAGAGCUGACCCGAUUAUGGACAACUAUGAUCCGUACGGUGAAGCACAUAUGUUCGGCAUCAUAAACGGCGAUAUUCUAUAUGUGCCGACCGGAGAAGAAGAAGAUGAUAUCUCUUCUUAUCUGAACCUUGACGGUGAAGAUGAAAGGCGCCGUCAGCAAGAUGAUGCCGAACAAACGUCGAUAAACGACGAUCUUCAAAUGGAAGUAGCAACCACCUCCGGCGCCGAGGUAUAUAUAUACAUUGAGCCUCUGGUGAUACAAACUAACUGAUUUGAAUAAAUAUGUGUGUACUAACACGCGCGACUCUUUCUUAUUUUAGCCCUCGGCCGGAUCGUCGAAACAAUCGAGUACGUCGUCAAAGCGUGGCGCAACCAAGACGAUGAAACAAGGAGAAACAUGCACCAUCGAGGUUGUCGACAGUGCAACCGGCAGGCCGCUGGAGCCCCGCAAGAACGCCACCAAGUUUGUCAGCCAAUGCGGAGCCAUUGUUAGAGACAACGUCUCGAUCACCGUCCAGGAGUGGAAUGAGCCAAAGAAGGCACGAAAUGAUGGUUUCACUUUUGUCGAUAAGAGAACAAAAAAGAUUGCUUCAAGAAGCUUAUGGAACAUUUCGUUCUACCUCCGGAAUACAACAAAUUCGAUGAGGAGGGUAACAAGAUUGAGGAAAACAAGGAGAGGAGGAGGCUAGUCAAACAGUUCGCUCUUCAUAAGAUGGCCUACGCAUUCCGGAAAUUCAAGCAAAAUCUAGCCCAUGACUUUGUCAAGCAGAACAAGACUCCGGAUUUCAAAGGACAAUAUGAGAAACUGAAACAUGAUUGGCCAGAAUUUGUGAAGCAAAAGAAAUCGGAGCAGUUCAUUCAAAUAUCGAAAAAAAAUAAGGAAAAUGCGGCUAAGAAGGAGUACAAUCAUGUUAUGGGGCCAGGAGGGUAUCGCAUUUGGGUGCCUAGGUUGGAGAAGAUGGAGAACGAGCUGAGGGCGCGAGGAAUCCGUCCAGGUACGGAGGGAUGGGACCCAAGGGCCAAAAGCUGGUGGUACGGGCAUGGGGGAACGCUGAACCCGGAGACAGGGGAGUGUGUUUACCGGGGCAAAUUAAUUAAACCCACCCAAGCCCUUAUUAACGCAAUGAGGGAUGCUCAACAGGGGAAGAUCAAGUUCAACAGAGAGAACGACGCGCUGACAAAAGCCCUCGGGAAUCCUGAACACGGAGGACGUGUACGAGGCAUGGGGCACAUUCCGUGGAAAAUAGGGUUCCCCCAGAACGAUGACCCGUACGGUUACAGAAGCCGUAAGAGAAAGAUGGAUCGGGAAGCAGAUGUUGUGGCGCGGUUGGCAUCGGAAAUGGAUGUGAUGAAGAAAACCAUGAGUAUACUAGUAGCCGAAAGAGAUGCAGCUCGGGUGCAGCAUGAAGAUCAUCCAGCGGAUCUCGGAAGCCAGCAGCGGAGAAGCAGCGUGGCUUCCACGGAGGCCCCACCGGCUGGUGCAGAUGCACCGACGAUCGAAAUUACUGCACCGGAGCCUCUGGUGGUCGAAAUUACUGCACCGGAGCCUCUGGUGGUCGAAAUUACUGCACCGGAGCCUCCUCGCUACCCCGUGGACGAUAUAAAGGAGAUGAAAGAAUGUCAUCUGUAUUAUCCUAUCGGGAACAUGUCCAUGAAGGUAGCCAUCGGCAGUGCUUUACCAUGUUUACCUGGAGCACUCCACCACAACAACCCCAUUCAAGAUGGCUAUGCUCGUGUCACGGUGGAGGACAUAGUCCAAGGGUUUGAGGACCUGGAGAUUGACAUUGCUACACCUGAAGGGGAGAAAAGACUUGGAGAUGUCAAGCGCCAUUUCAUUCUAUGGCAAAAGAAGUUUAUCAAGUUUCCAGGCGAGGCGCCAAGGACAACAAGUCCACCCCCCUACGGUGGUGGUGGUGGCGGUGGCGGUGGUGGUGGUGGUGGUGGUGGUGGCGGUUCACCUACACCUCCAUCACGUCAGCCGACGCCGCCCCUCAGUCCACAACGUCCGGCGGGUGAUCAGCCGCCGCCCCCCAGUCCUCGUCCGGCGGGUGAUCAGACGCCGCCCCCCAAUCCACCUCCGGCAAAGAAGCAGAAGCAGUCCUGGAUUAUUAACCCGGACCCUUAUGUACCUAAGACCACAAAGGUACCGGAGCCAUCACUGAAGCCUCUCCCCACAAGGUCUUGGGAACGUAGUGCCGAGGAAGUCGACGCGGCCGCGGCUGCUGAUUUGGAGAAAUGGAAGGCGGACUGCAAGAAGAAAACAGAGCCCGAGCCCAAGCCAGUAUUUUCUGAUGAGCAAAAGAAGUGGGCUAAGUCAUUUUUGAGCACACCGUCCCAAGCCGCGAAGAAUCUGCCUAACGACUAUGCACGUGAACUUCGCAGGCAGGCACUCAUGUUCAAGGAGAACAAAGAGCGGGAGAAGGCCGAAAGUAAAAAAAGCGGGAAACAAGUUGCCCAGCUCGGGGAACAAAGUAAACAAUCGAUUGCCCCGCUUAUAGUGGAAGCCUUCUGUCCGGAUGCCCCCAAGAUCAUACUAGCUGCGGCAGCACAGGGAUUGACUGUAACGAGUGCCAGAGAACAAGCGGCCAACUUAGGUAUUACUCUUCGUGAACUGUUAGGCCUUGAUGAGGCGCCAGUGAAGGAGGUAGUAAUUACAUAUGUCAAGAAUGGGCCUCUCGUCGAGCCUGCGCAGGAAAAGGAUCUACCUCCACAAAUGAAAGGUCUGCUGAAAUGGUACAAGGGUUACAUAAAAAAUAAAAACGCCAAAGAAUAUAUUUAUGCGGAAGUUAGACAUGAGCAUCACUUCAAACAUUACUAUGUACAAAUUGAACUGAGUGAAUUGUUCCAGUUUUUCAAUCUGCGCGAGCUCGAUAAAUCUAUCAUCAGUUGCUACGUUCUGUAAGUGAUUUAUUAAUUUCUACCCCAUCUCGUUCAUAUUGCCUGCACUAUAUAUAUGUCCUAACUAUAUUGUUGUGUCCGCUAUUAUACAUGCAGAAUGAAGAUUAAGGAAUGCAGAGUAAGGAACAUCCAUGAUGUUGGGUUCAUUGACCCACACAUCGUUAAUGGACAUGUGUUGGAGCGUUACCCCGCCGACGUGGAGGCAGACCUGUGGCAGUUUCUUACAAAGCAGGAACUCAAAAGUGAUAUUCUAUUUCCUUACCAUUUUGAGUGAGUGUUUCUGUCUUGAGCACAUUCUCUUUUGUUUACUCCAUGCAUGGUAUGUGGCCGGCUAAUCGAUGAGUUAUGCAUGAUGUACUGUGCAUGUAUCGUGUCCGCAGGUUCCACUGGAUUCUGCUAGUAAUUAAAGUUAACACCUUAGAAUGUCUCGUCCACGACUCUGUGAAUAUGGAUCCAAAGCUUUGGGGCGGCAUGAGAAGAAUGCUGCAGAAGUAAUUAUUUUCAUUCAUUUGCGCUCUAUAUCGAUCGGCCUAUUUCGUUCAUUUCCUAAUAUCAAGUAACUAAUUAAUAACUCUCUUGUUCAUUUAAUUUUCUUUGCCUCGUAGGGUUUGGAGACGGUUCGUAGAUACAAAGGUCGGUGAAUUCAAAAAAGAGCUAGAAUUCAAAAUGUUAAAGGCUAAGAAUGCUGGGGAUAUUCAGCCACCGGAGACCAAUCUAUGUGGAUACUAUGUCUGUGAGAUGAUCCGGAGAUACACCUCUGAGCGGGUUCCGAGUGAUACCAAUGCUAAGAGGAAUAACCUCCGGUGGAUGCUUAGUCCAGAAGCUCGCUUUCGACCACUUCAAGAGGAACUAGCUGGAUGGUUCAGCAGGGAAGUCCUCCAUCCUAAAGGAGAACACUAUUACGAGGACGUAGAACUUUAUAUGCAUUAAAUCAUGUAUGGAAACUUGUUCAAAAUUGUAUAUGGUCAUCCGAUGAUAUUGAAUAUAUAUUGUAUAUUCCUCUUGAAUUCUUUUUGGUUCUAAUUUCAAAUUUAUUUGAAAUUGUACAUUCAUAUGCAUGUAUGUAGUACCGUAGAAUAUAUGAAACUCCUUCAAAAUUAAAAUAAAGCACAAAAGAAAUAAAACAAUACAAAUUAAACAGAAAACAGGUUUAGGGGGGGGGGGCUAAAACCCUAAACCUGCGGCGGCCUUUAGUCGCCGUUGGCCAGAAGAACCGCGACUAAAGGUCCUCCGCCCCGACGGCCACCUGGCGCCCACGUGGACGGGCCUUUAGUCGCGGUUCUUAAGCAACCGCGACUAAAGGGGGGGGGUCUUUAGUCGCGCCCGUUCGGUCGCGGUUGCGCAACCGCGACUAAUGGCAGUUGCGAACCGCGACCAAAGGCCCUUUUUCCACCAGUGCUUGGUUGCCUCCUGGAGCAGAAUGUCUCCAAUGGGAUGCGCCGAGGGGGGAGGCGAGCGCCAUCACCGGUUGACGGGGAGUAGGCGACGCGCCAAGCUGCUCCACGGGCCUGAUACCAUCUGCGAUGACUUUGCGCCCCGCCAGCUUCUUGGCUUGCCGCACGGAACCGCUCUUGCUUUCAUCGUGCCCUCCCGAGGCCAGCGACCCGGUCAGGGAGGGGAGGAGGGUGCUUGCAGAUAGCACCAUCAGCGUGCGCUCUCCCGCAGGCACACCCAUCUCGCAAGACGCCGUCAUUCCUUUGUCGAGCAUGGCCACCGAGGGGGGGGGGGGUCACCAUCCCCAAGUUGGAGCCAUACUGAUUCACCACCUCCACGUCCAUCACAGCCGCCGAAGCCGGGACGAGAGCUUGACGAGUGUGAGCCGCCGGAGAGCCCUCGCCACGUAGGCUGAGCUUCUCCCACGCUGCCGUGUCGAUGGAGUCGUCGUCCAUGCUCGCCUCGUGGUCCUUGUCAUGCCCCGGGUCUUGUCCUUGUCUCCGCUGUCUGGGUCCUUAUCCUUGGUAGGNNNNNNNNNNNNNNNNNNNNNNNNNNNNNNNNNNNNNNNNNNNNNNNNNNNNNNNNNNNNNNNNNNNNNNNNNNNNNNNNNNNNNNNNNNNNNNNNNNNNNNNNNNNNNNNNNNNNNNNNNNNNNNNNNNNNNNNNNNNNNNNNNNNNNNNNNNNNNNNNNNNNNNNNNNNNNNNNNNNNNNNNNNNNNNNNNNNNNNNNNNNNNNNNNNNNNNNNNNNNNNNNNNNNNNNNNNNNNNNNNNNNNNNNNNNNNNNNNNNNNNNNNNNNNNNNNNNNNNNNNNAGCUCCGGCUCAAGCUUGAUGAGGAAACCCUCCCCAUUGAACCCGAUCUGGACCGACCCGUGCAUCUUCUCUGGCUUACGGCAAGCGAAAAGCAUCCGCACCGGGCCUGAGCGGAUCAAGGAGAGCUCAUCCACCACCAGCGGUCUGCCCAACAUAGUCAUCCCCGCCAUCAGUCUGUCCACCCUGGGAUGCUUCGAAGGGAUGCCCCACAACUUAAUCCACACCUCUGGCAUGGAGUCCCCUUUGAGCGCGUCCGCCACGGCAUCACGAAUGAGCGCAGUGAUGUUGUUGAUGGAGAGGAACAACUUGCCACUGCGAGUCGCCAUGCGCAGCAUGGCCGGAUCUGGAAAGACCACCGAGAAGCGGUCGGCGUCGAUCUGGGCCACCUGCCAGUCCCAUGCGCCCUCAAAAAGGUGAGGCAAUCCUAGCCAUUAAUGCACACAAACGGUCGGAGGUAUACUCUCAAAAUACAAACAAAAGCUUAUUCAAAUAACAACUGAAAGUUUGUAAGUUUACAGUUAAGAUGUAGUGUUUACAGUUGAAACUUUCUCAUGCUUACAAUCUGGGACGACGCCCUUCAUGGACUUUCUCAUGCUAAGUCUGGCCAAAUCUGGAUUAACAAUGUAAAAAAAACAAUGUAAAAAAAAACAAUGCUCCCUUAGUUAAUUAGUAUGGUAUCAAUCAAUUCCCAAGUCUUCUCAUACCAGUAGCUGUGUCAGUCAGAUCUAAUGACGCAGGUUAGCACGCAAAACAUUGUGAACUUUGAUGAUGUUAGCUUGAUCUGAGAAGUCGCCAUUACAUUCAGAGCUACACAAGCUUUUGUGUGUGUGUGUGUGUGUCAAGUUGCUUAAGCACAUCGGCCGUUGACUAAUUGCUCGCCUCGUUCUUAUGCAUCUCAUAGAACAACUAUGGCGUGGUGCAGAUUCAAUGGACUGGCAAGGAUCAAAUCCGUCGAUCUGUAAUGUGAUGCCUAUAUAAGUUAGCUACUAGAAAAAUUAAUUAGAUAGUGAAUUCAUAUGAGAGCCGUAGCCACCUGUUCCCUUGUUAUCAAAUUGAGGCUCCAUGGACCGGCUAAUCAGAUCAACGAAUAUCUUAAUUAAGACCUCGAUCGACCCCUCAAGUCUUCAAUAGAUAGCCAAGUUGUCCGAAUCAUGUUCAGAUCUGCAGCUAGAGGCUCCUUUAAUUAAUUAGUAGACCUCGAUGGUCUCAAAGUCUUCUUCCAGCUAAGUCUAGCUAGGCCUUGUUUCUUCAGAUCCGGGUCUAGCUUUGAUUGCAGUGUAAAUCAUUGUUCAUCUGAUGCCAUGUUCAAAUUUCCUAUUCCACAUCAAACUAUGAAGAGUUCUUUACAGCUGUGGCUGCACUUGCGCAUCCAGCAUUGCUAAAAUGAAAAGACAUGUGCAAUCUUAUCUUAUCUUAUAUUUACUAAUUGGAGGCACCAUACGAGCCUCCAUAUUAAUCCACAUCAUUAAAAAAAAUCUUAACCAUUCAAUCUGUAUAAUGAUCAAUUUUAACCCUAUGAUUUGCGUUGCACUGUGGCAAGAAAUAAGAACAGCCUGACACGACCCCUACCACCACAAUUUGUAGAAAGAGUCCAUGUCCCUAAAAAUAAGAGUCCACGUCUAUUUCAACCAAAAAAAAGGAGAGUCCAUGCUCCAAUUCCCCACCAUAAAAGAAGUGUCCUUCCACGCCCCUAUUCCCAAAAAUCAUUGACGUACAUGUUUCCUUGAAAAAAUAUACACGCACAAUUAAAUACUGUUCGAGAAUCACGUUACAAAAAAAGUGAGACAAUCGCUGCUCAGAAAAAACUUUUUUGUGUAAAUGCUCAGAAAAAAUCAAUCCUACCUUACGAAAUAAAUUCACAGUCGAUUCUUUUACUACGUGAAAUAACCUUAUUAAAAGAAGACCAAAUCUAUUAGUUUAACAUGUGAAAUCAUUAAUUGUAACACUACUAGGAAAAUGUACAUCAAAUGGCAUGCACAGAAAAAUCAUACAUGAACAUAAAACUACAACGUCCCAUCAAAAAACUGUACGAAGUCCCAUCCAAAAAAAUGUGAAGUGUCCUUCCAUGAUCUCCCAUAAGCACGUUUCGUUUCUUUUUAAAACUCACACGCGCAUGUGUCGAAAAAAAGGAUGAACGACGCCCCUUAAAAAAAGUAUAGCGGAAUUCAAACAAAAGUACAGCGUCGAGUCAAAAAAAAUAUACGGCGUCGUAUCAUAUUCUCCCUCAAGCAUAUUUUCUUUCUUGAAAGCCACAGUUAUAUCUCCUAAACUCUCCUGAUUGAUAUCCUUCCCAAAAAAAGCUCCCCUGAUUGAUUUCAAAUCCAAAGAAAGAAAAACGCAUCGGCAUGUUGCCACAAAAAUCCUUUUUCAGUUCGCUGCCCGUACCGAUGGCGAGUCAUCUAGAGUCUCUACCGCCACUCUUCCUAAUCAUCCGCCUAACUGUGUCAUCUGUUCUUCAGGCCAUCAACGCCACCUUCAAUGUUCUAUCAACCACUGGAAUCAAUCUAAAAAGAUUUAUAGUCCAAUCCGUCAUAUCCUACUGUGAUCAUGUUUCUUUCAACCUUGGAAAACAUGAUUGUCAUCAUCCAUUAGCAUAGAUGAUAGUGUAUGUAAAAGUUCAGAUUUUUCAGUGUCCAGAGUGUUGCCUACUACUCCUGGUAAGUGGUCCUCUAGGGAAGUACGAAAUAACCUAAGUACAUACAUACAUAGCUCUUUAACACAUCAAGGAGACGUGCUAAUUGCAAAAAAAUAAAAUCGAUUGAUAUAUGCCCCAGUUAUGUCUCAGAGCAUGAAAGCCGAAGCAAGGAGAAUCAAGGCACAUGAAAUGUUUCUUAGGGAUAAUCGUAAAUUUUACCGAGUUAAAGUCAAAUAGUUUUUUGGCCUAAAAUUUGGGAUCUAAAACUUUCUUAGAAUCAUCAUCAUUUACAUGAAGAGACUUUUAAAAAAUUGGGUUGUACAUUAAUUAUUUAUUCUAUGAAGUAAUAUAGGGCUACCAAUAAGACUUUAUCUUAUGCUGGACUUAUAACUAGCAGAGAUAUUUUUCUUGAAAAACAUCAUCAAGUAUAGGAAUUCCAUGAGAAUAUUACGCUCUAAGUAUUAUCUGUCAUAAAGAUCUCAUGCACAUAUAGACUUUAUAUGCCAUAUACAAAUAUGUUAUAGAUGUAUAAUUUUUUAUCUCAAUUUUUUUGUCAAAACAUAUAUACAAUAUACUUUCUAAACAUCCUGCAUAUAAUGAAAGAGUAACUGAACGUUGUCCAAUAUAUUAUUGAUCUUAGGAAAUUUCACCAGGCAACGAUUCACAUUUGGUUUAUAGAUUAUUAUUUUUCAUGUGCUGAGUUUACUUAUGAACCGCAUGCUCCUUUAAUAUUAUGAAACACAUAAAUACAUGGGAAUCAUAUUUUUGUAAACUCUUUGCAGAAAUAUUAUUCCUUUUUGUUAUAACGCCGCAGGCUAUUACAUCUCCCCGAUAGUAAUAUUUGAAACAGGUGUCACAAAAAAGAAUUCAAAUGUGUAUCAUAAAAUAAAAUAGCUCUAUUAUUGCACAAAAAUAUAGUUUAUCACAUAUUUAUUUCAAUAUGAAACGCAUAUGAAUUAGCUAGGCCGUGUGGAUGCACGGGUUGAUGACUAGUGACAAUUAAUGCACAUACUCAUAAAUGUAGAAACGUCAGCUUCUUUAGAUGUGAAAACCAGUCGAAAGCUCAUUCGUACAUUUUAGAUGUCAUGUUUACGGUUGAUAUCUUGUCAUGUUUAUAAUCUGGGAUAUCCUUCUUAGCAAUAUGCAACCAGAAAUAGGAUAUAUAUGCCAUAAAAUAUUUAGACCUGGCUAACAGCUAAUUCAAAGCACAGGAAUUUGUUCAAAAAUUCAAAACAAAUAUUCGCGCCAAAAAAACUGUACAGAAAUUUUUAAAAAAAUAUUGUGUAUUUCAAAAGUCCUGAUACUGUCAAAAUAUAAACAUUUUUAAAAAAGAGCGAACAAAAUUUUGGAUACGGACAUCUUUUUAAAAACACUUUGUGUAUUUUCUAGAGCAUUCUGUGUAUUUGUGUAAAAUGUUUAUAAAAACAUGAACAAUUUUGAAAUUCCGAACAACACUUGAAAGCGCGAACAUUAUUUCAAACUCCUUAAACAGUUUUUUAGUUUCUAAACAAGCCAUAAAAAGGGAACAUUUUUUGAAUUUGUGAACCAAAUUUGUAAAUAGAGCAUUUUUUAGGGGAAACGACAUUUCUUAAAUUAAUGAACUUUUCUCGAAUUAGCAAGUGUUUGGCCCGGCCCAACAGGCACCCGACGGGAGCGAUGCCGUCGUCUAGUUGGGCCAAGGCCUAAGCUUUUUUCUUUUUUUCUUUUUCCUGCUUUUUUUGUUAAUUCAUUCUUCUCCUUUUUGAACUUCAUUAUUCAUUAUAUGAAACCUGUUGAAAAAUUCAAAUACUAUUUGGAAUAGGAAAAUAACAGUUUUAAGUAACUUAAAAACUAAUAAAAAAAGAAAAAGGCAAACAAAACCGAAGAAGUAAAGAAAAAAAGGCUGAUGAAAAUUUAGAACAAACAAAGAAUGUAACGACCCGACCCGAAAUUGGUCAAGUCUGUGUGUAUCCGUACCAUCCCAAGAUCAUGCUGGCAUACACAGUACAAAAAUUCAAAGUUCAAUCACACAUGAAUUUAUUACACGAUUCUCAUAUCGAGUCUUUAUUACAUCAUAAUAAAUUCGGCCGAAGGCUAACUCAUGAGAAAUAAACCAAAAAUAAAGCUGCGGAAGCGUAGACGAUAAGUGAGUCCAUCAACUCCAUAGGGCAAUCGCCAAGUGUGGAUCGUAGCCUCACUCCUGGUCGGAAAACUCCUCUGCAACAUAAGACGUUGCAGCUGUGUAGGUCAACAUUUUGAAUAUGCCGGCAAGUCAUGAAGAGAGAACAACAAACAUUGCUAACACUAUAUGCAAUUUGGCUGUGGGGCUCUAAGUUUUAUGUUUUUGCGAAAAAGCCAAUUUUUUCCUACAACAAAAGGACUUGCCUGCAAUUACUACAAAAUAUUGGUUGUUAUUGAGAUGGUUCCGCCAACCAGUGUCUCAUUCCCAAAAUUGUUAAUAACCCAUCAAUUAAUUUAUUUUGUUCGGUGUUGAGGUUUCCGAAUAACUCUAAUUCCAGGGGCUCAAUUGUCCAUAUCCGGGGACACGGCUAAUCGGUUAGAUUUCUACUCUGCAGAGUCUUGUGCACUUUACCCGCAAGAAUCGUUCCCUCCUUUAUGUCCUCGCACUACCUGGUGUUUGAAGACGAAACAAACGAAAUAGGGUCUUCCGUAGAGUUUCUCUGGGCACUCACUAGUAGAAAACAUGGCUUUGGUUCAGGCCGGACCAGCCCAUUAAUCCUAGUUCAGUCACGAACCGGGACCCAUGGGGGCAUAGGUCCCGGUUCGUGAGUCCAGGGGGCCGGCCGGGCCUCGUGUGGCAUUGGUCCCGGUUCAUCUGGCCCCUUUGGUACCGGUUGCAGCCACGAACCGGGACCAAUGGUUGUGGGCCCCAUUGGUCCCGGUUCGUGGCUGCAACUGGGACAAAAGGGUGUCCUUUAGUCCCGGUUCCAGCCACGAACCGGGACCAAUGAGAUGCCUAUAUAUACCCCCUCGCCCGCGAGCAGAGCACUCCACUGCUCUGUUUUUCUGGCCGGCCGUUGGAGAGCUUUGUGGUGCUCUAGCUCACCUCCUAUACACAUGAGGUGUUCGAUGAAAUGUCCGAGCCACACUUAAGCUUUCUCCUCUCGAACCUCCUUGUCCGAGCUCCAUUUUCCUCCAGAUUUGUCUAGGUUUGGCGGUCCGUCCUGUCCCGUCCCCGUCCUAACCGCCGUCGAUCGCCCGUGCCGAUCUCGUCGCCGCCACCACCGUGGUGAGCCUCUUGAUCUUAUCUUCUUUCUAAAAGAAAAAAGUUCUUACUUGUAUGAUUUUGAUAGAUACUUGUGUAGUUUUCUUACUUAUUAUUAUUUAUUAUUAUAUAGUGCGAUGGUUUUGGUAUCCGCCUCCGUCGGCCCUCGUCCUGUCUAUGAUUCGGAUGUGGUAUAUAUAUUAUCUUUUAUAAUUAUUAGUUUUAUUUAGUGUUUAUGACAAUUAUGCCGAGCAUCAUGACAUAGAUUUUUUUAUCUAGAAGGUAUGUGAACCGGAAAUUCCAACCGACCCUAUUAUCGAGAGGUUAAAUUUAGUUGAAGAAGAAAACAAUUACUUGAAGGAAAAAUUGAAAAAAAUUGAGUUGGAAAAGAUGACAUUGGAGUUGCAUGCUGCGGAUGUCGUCGAUGAUCACAAGAUCAAGAUGGAUGCUAUGCGCUUUAAGAUUAGAAAGACUAGAUUAUACCCCGCGCGUUGCUGCGGGAAAUAUUGCCUAAAGUUGAUGUUUUACUCAUCAACUAACUCUCCUAAAAGGACAAAACGAUGAAUAAAUGAUUCUUAUUUGAACAUACUUUAGAAUGACAGAUAGGUAAGUAAGAUCAAACCUCCAAGUUAUAUCAUUCAAAGGUUGGACAAUAGACGAACAAUCCGAAGGAGAAUGGUUAAAGCUUUUCAAUAUAUGCUACCAUCUCGGCAUCUCCACUAUCUCUGCAAGUGGAAUAAACUAUCAAGCUGCAGCUAAAACUUGAACAUCUAGCUACAACCCCAAGUCCUUAUUGUGCGCAAUCUGCAUCCUAACACCCAUGUAAAUUUACUUUAAUCAAUCCCACAACAGGAGAUAAACAAAUGUCGUACAAAUGUCAUUAGUCCCGAUAGAACCUUACGGCUUUGAUCUUUUAAAUAUACAUAUAUAGUGUCUAGUUGUACCUGCAUCAGAAAGCUCCCUCUUCUGACUAAUUCUAUGCAUUGGAUAACAAAACUCUACAGAAAGAAAAUAAAAAACUGCCAUUAUGCAACUUGUUCUUAACAAUCACUCACUUCGAGUGCCAAAAAUAGCUCAAUUACAUAGAUUAAAUGCACUAGUAGGAUGCAGUCACGCAUGCCCACUGAACCCGUUGCUUUCACACAAAGUCUGAAAUUCACAAUUUGUUGAUUCUUCAUAGAGGAUUAACAGAGAGAGAGAGUUAACACAGAGAGUAGAGAGAGAAACAUAUUGAGAGAGAGACGGAACUAACACAGAGAAAUUCUCCAGUCCACUGCCGCCUAGCUCCUGGUGGUGGCCUCACUUUUGUGCACCUGCAAUCAAAGGAGAAGGAAUAGUACAGUGCCCUUGGAAUCAACUAGGAGAGAGGAUUAGCACCAGCACAACCGGCCGGUGCUUGCACGCACACCCGGACGACACACAACACACACGCAUGCUAGCUCACCCGUCCAGCGAACAACACACACACCAAAAAAAAACUCAUUACUGCUGCAAGGAUUGUUGAGAUGAUCCAAACAGGCAUACAUGUCAAUUACAGAAACCACAUAUUGGAAUUUAAAGCGAGCAUAUCCAAAUACUGUUGGAAGGAUUGUUGAGAUGACAACCCAAACAGGCAUACUUGUCGUCAAUUACAGAAAUCAACUACUGGAAUGGACAUAUGCAGAACUUCAGCUUGGAUAAGA
rnacentral:lncRNA from 1 species